rnacentral:rRNA from 1 species
GAUGAACGCUGGCGGCGUGCCUAACACAUGCAAGUCGAACGGACUCAUAUUGAAACCUAGUGAUUUAUGAGUUAGUGGCGGACGGGUGAGUAACGCGUGGAAAACCUGCCGUAUACCGGGGGAUAACACUUAGAAAUAGGUGCUAAUACCGCAUAAGCGCACAGCUUCGCAUGAAGCAGUGUGAAAAACUCCGGUGGUAUACGAUGGUUCCGCGUCUGAUUAGCCAGUUGGCAGGGUAACGGCCUACCAAAGCGACGAUCAGUAGCCGGCCUGAGAGGGUGAACGGCCACAUUGGGACUGAGACACGGCCCAA